AGCCCCAUAGUCUAGCGGUCAAGGAUAGGGCCCUCUGGAGGCUCUGACGGCGGUUCGAAUCCGCCUGGGGCUA
rnacentral:tRNA from 1 species